ensembl:lncRNA
UGCUCGGGAGGCGGAGCUCCGAGCGCGACCGGGAGGGCUACGCGGCGGCCGCAGCCAUGGGCUCUGGGCCUGCGGGGGCGCGGUGGGGGUGCGAGGACCUGCGGGGCCGGGCGGGAGAGACGGCUGCCGGGACCCGCCCUAGACACUGAGCCGCGGUGGGAUCCCCGCUGGCUCUGCGAGGCCCUGCGAGCGCCAGGGAGGCGCCUCGACGGAGCGGGGCAGCCCCCGGCCACUUCAGGGGGGCCCGCUUCGCCGCCCGGGCGGUCGAGAGGGCCUUGGGGGCACAUCUCGGGGUGCGGUGACCCGCCUGGCGCAUUUCGGGGGUCGGGGCGCGUUUGCCAGGGGACAUCUGGAGCCCGGCCCUGCUUCUGUCGGGCUCCAGGGUACCCCUGGAUGGCUGCGCUGUGCCCUCGCCGGCCGCCCGGGCGCCGCAGCGGCUGAGUUCGCCGGGAUCGCCGGGCCGCCGCCGCCCUUGCCACCCGCUGCAUGCUCGGCGCCCGGGUCGCGGCCCACCUGGACGCACUGGGCCCCCUGGUCCCCUACGUGCCGCCGCCGCUGCUGCCCUCUAUGUUCUACGUGGGCCUGUUCUUCGUCAAUGUGCUGAUCCUGUACUACGCCUUCCUCAUGGAGUACAUCGUUCUCAACGUGGGCCUCGUCUUCCUGCCCGAGGACAUGGACCAGGCGCUCGUGGACCUCGGCGUGCUCUCCGACCCCGGCUCGGGCCUUUACGAUGCUGACUCGGAGCUCGACGUCUUUGAUGGGUACUUGGAGUAGGGUCUCGACUGCCGUUCCCCUCUUCCCUCCACGAUCCGCAACCCACUCCCUGGACCAGCCGCCCAGAUCAUACCGCCGCAGCUGGUUGGGGGCACCAUCUGGACGGGGAUGGUUCCCCAGGAGGAGACCCUCCCCUGCCUCCGAGGCCUGUCUAACUGGAUGCCAGGAAUGGCCAGACUCCUCUUAAGCCCUUCGUUUGGGCUGGAAAGCUUCCCCCAGCAAAGGGGACAGCUGGUGAAAAGGAAGGGGACCCCGAGAGGACAUGGACCUGUGCAGAGACAGGCAACUUCUCCUUUGCUGUCUGUCUCCUUCCAGCCACCAGGAGAUGGCCAGACCCCAGCCAUGCCUUCAUCCAGAGAUAAGGUAGAGACCCUCCUGCUACAUAGCCUGUCAUCAGCGUGGAGUAUCAGAAUGGCUGCGCCUGCUCCCCUCAAAAGCUUCGUGCCAACAGAGAGGUUCCUGUUUGGACCCAGGAGAGUGGAAGAGAGAUUGGGACUGACUGCUGAGGUUGGGAAGGCACCUGCUCCCAGAGAAGGGGGAACGCAAGGGGCGUCCCAAGACCUCAUCUGCCUGCAGCGUCACACCGAUGGCCUGGCCUUGGCUUCUGAUUAUUUGCAACUGCGAUGGAUGUUUACAGGAACCCAGCCAGAGUUUGCCUCCCUGCACUUCAUCCCGGAGCGCACCUGCUUCCCCCACUUCACCUUCAGAGAGGACACUUCAAACUGCGGACACACACAAAAGCGACUCCCAGCUCCGUUUGAUGUGAGGAGACUGAGGUGUGGGAGAGUACAGGCGGCAGAACUCUCGCGGGAGACAGUUGUAGCACCACUUGCCCUCAUGUGAUGCUAAAGAAAGAAAAGCUACGAAAUCUGAAAAGAAGACAUUUGAGAGGCCCAAGGAAAAAGGUGAGCGUGAGGAGGGAGACAUUUGCAUGCAGAGAGAGGCCUGAGAGGAAGAGUGACCAUUUGGAAGGUGCGCGGACUUACAGUCCACUGGACGUGGAAUUGCACCAUCAUGCCCUGAUUCCUCCAAGCAGCGCUUUACUACCUGACAAAUGGGGUUCAGGGGCACUUCCAGCACACUGUGCCUUUGCCUGCAGAGAGGUCCUCCAAAGAAGUCAGAAGUCCAUUCCUUUGUAGGAGUGUGACUAUAAGUAUUGCUUAGAUCUGUGACACGGGGUCAGUAAUUUAUCCACAUCUUAUGAUGACUGUGCAUUAACUACAAAAAGGUGCCCCUCUGGGUUAAAAGGCUCCACACCAGGACUCCCAGCUUGGCAAGCAGAACCCAGACUGGUUUGCAGCCCCCAUGUUCCCCCUUGUCCAGGUGCCUUUGUGCAGUGUACAGACUGGCCAACCUCACCUGGCAGCCCUGUCCAGAGUUUUUUUAAUUUGCUAAAAUAUAAGACUCACCAGGGCAGGAACAUCUUAUUCAUGACUGUGCACUCAGUACGUAUUUGUAGAAUGAAUGAAACAGGUGAGGAUUAUUUGUUCAUUUUAUGUUAUUGAGCACCUAUUAUACACAGGCGCCUUGCUGGGUGCAGAGGGCACAACAGUGUACAAAGCAAGAUGUUUCCCGCCCUCCUGGAGCUCAUGUCCUAGGACAAGAGCAGACUGCAUAAAUAAGUGAAAAAGAUAAACUAGUGAUGGGGUUGCAGAGUGGGGCAAGUCCUGAAGGAUGAGAAAUCGGCCAUAUGGAGAGCUGGGAGGAACAUUCCAGCCAGAGGCAAGAAUGAAACACAGAUAUAUGUAAUAAUGACAGCCAAGAUGUUAUUGAGCCUAAUUCUCAACCUAUUAGCUCACCACACCUUCACAUAAUCCUAUAAAAAAGGUGCUGUGGUUAUGCUCAUUUUACAAAUGAGGAGACUGAGGCACAGAGAACUAGCUUGCAUAAGUAAGUGGUAAGGAGGGCGUUGAGCCCAGGCAACAUUGUUCUAGACUCUCUGCCAUUCGCCCCUAGACUCUUAUCCCUCUUGGGUAGGAGUUUAGCACAGUGUCUGGCACACAGUUGUCACUUAUUGAGCUAAUACUUUCUGAGCACUUUGAAUUUCCCUUGCACUGUGAUAAGGGCUUUGCAUGUAUCAGCUCAUUAAAUAAACAGUAGUGGCUGGGUGCGGUGGCUCACACCUGUAAUCCCAGCACUUUGGGAGGCCAAGGCAGGCAGAUUACCUGAGGUCAGGAGUUUGAGAUCAGCCUGGCCAACAUGGUGAAAUUCCAGCUCUACUAAAAAUACAAAAAUUAGCCAGGCGUGGUGGUGCAUGCCUGUAAUCCCAGCUACUUGGAAGGCUGAGGUGGGAGAAUCUCUUGAACCCAGGAGGCAGAGGUUGCAGUGAGCCGAGAUCACGCCACCGCACUCCAGUGUGGGCAACAAGAGUGAAAACUCUGUCUCAAAAAAAUAAAAUAAAAUAAUAAUAAAC